CACGCGCUCCCUGGAAGGAAAUUCUGGCUGCCCCGCGUCCCAUUCAGAUGCUGCCGAACCCAUCCUAGGCGUGCUUUAAACACAAGCAAAUAGACAAGCCCGGCAGCUGCGCCGCAACAGGGAGCGUGCAGAGCGCGGGCUGCGAGGGCGACCGCUGGACGCAAUGGGCGGCCUUGCAGCCAGGACCCGGCCGGAACGCGCUCCGCAGCCUAUGAGGCUUGGCCCGAGGUUUAUUUGACGCCAGCCUUAAGUUUUUGCUCCGCCCGCGGAGCAGCUCAAGGGAAUUGCAUCUUAGGGCUUUCUGUGCCCUCCACUCGCGCCCGGUAUCUGCCAGCCCGAGGCCGCGUCGGCGAGCCUGGUUUCCCAGCCUGGCCCAUCCCAUACAGUGUGCUCCCCCACUGCGGUUUUAAAAGUCAAAAUUAUAAAUCAAGUCGUAUUAGCAAAACAUUUACAUGAAAACGGAGACAAAACAUUGGGGUUAUUUUGUUGGAGCCAGUCAGUUUAGAUUUUGGAAACACUUCUUGAACCUCGUCGGAAACACACACGAUUUCUUGGUUUUGGAGAAGAGACCUGCCCCCUCCCUAAAUGAAUGGGAUCACUCAAUGUUUGAAGGCAUUACGAGCCCUAACACACACAGGCCCUUGCGGCGGGCGCUCAGGAGAGCGGAAAUAUGGGCCCUCAGGGCGCAAUUUGGAAAGGCUAGAGCCGGGCACUUGGGACUGGCAGAAAAUGCGUCAGGUGGGCAGCCUAGGAAGGCGGGGGAGUGGAGGAAGGAGCCUUGCCCAGAGUUCCACGAGCGCUAGUCGUGGCCUUGGCGGAGCUGGCUCAUAAAUCUUACAAAUGCCAACCUGCAUUGUGCUGGCUCCUAGUGUGCAGAGGUGAACAAACAGGAGCUGGGGCUCUAGUGCCCUUCAGGACUGCAAAACAGUAAAUGAAAGCAUAUGAGGGGCAAGGAAGCCCAUGGAAUGUGGCUGUCUCACUGACAUUAAGACCUGCAAGUAAGAGAGAAAACUUGGCUCAGAUCUGCUAACCUUCAGGAGGAAAAAAAAAAAGCUAUGGAGUGAGAAGGUGCUGGGAAUUCACACACCGCUGGUUCAUACACGUGGAGGCAAGGGAACAAAAACCAUGGGAAAGCUGGAAAGAGAAGCUGUGGUUACCUUUAUCCAUAUGGUUUUGUCUCCUAGUCUUCUAGCCUGGACACAUGAGAAUUUCAAAGCAGUCGAGGCAAAUGUGAGCAAGAUCAACACAGGUCAGAUGAUUAUAACCACUCCUGGGUCUGAACAGUGGCAUAUGGAUGCCAGGUCAUCUCUUCUUUCAUUUGCUACCCACUUCUUCAGGCACCUGGUGGGCCUCAGAUCAGGGUUCAUUUCUUUCCACUGCUAAGAUAUUGAGGGGAUAAGGUAGAUGAGAAGAUGAAUUCAAACAGAGUUGACUCUAAAAUUAAUUUAUAUAAAAGGAAUUUGAUUUUUUCACUAAAACCUAUUAUAAAAUGUG